rnacentral:piRNA from 1 species
UUCUUGCCUAUUAAACUUCCCGCUCC